rnacentral:rRNA from 1 species
UUGAAACUUCGGUCGAUUUAAUUUAAUUCUAGUGGCGGACGGGUGAGUAACGCGUGGGUAACCUGCCUUAUACAGGGGGAUAACAGUCAGAAAUGGCUGCUAAUACCGCAUAAGCGCACAGAGCUGCAUGGCUCGGUGUGAAAAACUCCGGUGGUAUAAGAUGGACCCGCGUUGGAUUAGCUUGUUGGUGGGGUAACGGCCCACCAAGGCGACGAUCCAUAGCCGGCCUGAGAGGGUGAACGGCCACAUUGGGACUGAGACACGGCCCAGACUCCUACGGGAGGCAGCAGUGGGGAAUAUUGCACAAUGGGGGAAACCCUGAUGCAGCGACGCCGCGUGAAGGAAGAAGUAUCUCGGUAUGCAAACUUCUAUCAGCAGGGAAGAUAGUGACGGUACCUGACUAAGAAGCCCCGGCUAACUACGUGCCAGCAGCCGCGGUAAUACGUAGGGGGCAAGCGUUAUCCGGAUUUACUGGGUGUAAAGGGAGCGUAGACGGUGUGGCAAGUCUGAUGUGAAAGGCAUGGGCUCAACCUGUGGACUGCAUUGGAAACUGUCAUGCUUGAGUGCCGGAGGGGUAAGCGGAAUUCCUAGUGUAGCGGUGAAAUGCGUAGAUAUUAGGAGGAACACCAGUGGCGAAGGCGGC